GAUAGACGAGUCUCUGGGAAGUGAGGAUCCAAACAAGUGUCGGCCCCUGACCCCCAGCUCUGCCUGUUUCUAGAUCACCAGCGUGCAGCUCGCUCGAGCGCGGAGCUGAGAGCAGCCCCAGAAGCUGUUUGUUGGCAGCUCGGGCUUUGCACCGGACCAAAAGAAAAGCUUCAAGUUUUCCUGAGCUUUGGUAGGAAGCGCGGGCGUUGCGGUCGCGAUUAUUUUGUCAGGGACCUUGAAUCAACUAGAAAGGGGUGCUAUGUUGUUGGCUUUUUUUCCUCCCCAUAUGCAGGGAGCAAACUUGCUUGUUUUCAGCCAGAAGGAGUCUGCACUGCAUGACGAUGACAAUCAGGGUUUGGUGUCUGAUCAGGAACACUGACCAGCUUUGGGGAGGAACCCAGGAUACGUACUUUAAGAUGGUCACAUCAGCACUGGCCCUUCCCAAGGAGAGGUCCACCUCUAGGAACUGAAACAGCCUCCAGGCAGUCAGUGGAGUGCCUCCUGCCCGUUGCAUCUAGCCUGAAACGUCUUGCAGGGAGCCUGGUAGCCCACUGUCACUCCUCUGGAAGGGGCAUUUCUCCCCGUGCUCAGGAGCAGUGCCCAAGGAACGAGCUGGUGCUGACGGAGCUGAUGGGCCGGCUGUCCUCCUAGAGGUCCAGAUCACAUUUUUUCUGAAGCAGUUCUUCAUCCCAGUGUUUUUUUGACUUUUAAAUAUUUGCUACUAACUUUUGCAGUUUUUAUUUUGUUGAGAGACCCUUUGCAGGUCCCACACCUGACCACUGUGCGCAAGCUAAAGAUGGAGGAAACUGGCCAUGGGUGGGAGGGCAGCUCUGUUGCCUUUUUUUUGUUUGUUUGUUUGUUUUUGUUGUUCACCAGUGCAAUUCAUUUGCAUGUGUUUCUGCUCUGAUGAGUUGGGAUUGCAACAAAGACCUGCAGAGCCGGUGGCUGGACUCCAAGCAUAGCUCUGACAAACCUCAACUGCUUUAGCAAAGUCCUGCUGCCCUGUGAAGACAGCCUCGGAAAUGUGCUAACUGCAGGGACCCAGCUGCUGGGAGUUCCCAGGCUGGAGGGGGUGAUGCUGUGGUCCCCUCGAAGAUGGUCACCAGCUCCUCUCAUGGUUUGGAGCAGCCAAGACCUCACCGUGACCAUGCACGGGGACAUUUGAAUGUAGCAGCAAAGCACGAACUCCUGACGGAGCGAAAGAUAAAAGAAAAAAAAGAAAGAAGCAGAGCAAGACAACAGUUAUGGCCAGCAGCAUCAGGCUUCUACUGUACAGCUCCCCACAAGACCCAUACUAAGCCUCCUCCUUUGGAUUCCUUUUGGGCAGUGACACCUCCAAGCCCUUGGAGAUGGCGAGGCAGAUGAAAUGAUCCAGUCCUGGGAUAAGCAGCAGAGGAUGCUGACAUGUAGUGAUGUGUGAACUCCCCUGUCUGAGCUGAGUAUAUUUCUACCUUUGCUCUAAUUAUGAAUCACUCGAUUCAUGUCAGACCACUCAUAUUUAAGUCAAGCUUUCGUGCCAUUUAGACAGGUGUUCUGUAAACACGGGGAGAAACACAGGGUGGUAUCUGGAAUGAAUGGGAUGGCUGCCUGAGUGGCUGUCUGAGUCCAUGUUCUGUACGAACAAAUUAAAAGCAAGAGUCUUUCAUGCUAAAUUUGUAUGGCCCUCUCCAUAAAUUGCUCAAUUUAUUUGAGUAUUUUCUGGUGGUGAGAUGUUUUGGGACAUAAAAGUUGAUAAAAUGCAUUAAAUAAAACACUACGAGUCAAAUUUAAGUAUAAAAUGCAAUUUUUCCUGUGUUGGGUUUGAUGUUCUUAAUUUAAUCCCUGGUGGACAGUAGUCUGCAUUACAAAACCUUCACACAUAAUUUGGCACAGUUUGGAUGAUUUGCAAUCUCUCCCUCGCGCUGUCUGCAGAGGAUGCCCAGAGCAGAUCCUGCGUGGAGGCUCGGUGACCUCUCCUCUCUCAGGAGGGUGGUCUCCUCAGGUCACCGUUCAGGUCAUUUCUGCAGCAAAGUAAGGAAGCUUUGACUGUUUCUUUGCUUGUGUGGGUAAACAGAGGACUUUAAUUUCCAGCGCUACUGGUCCCUAACCUUCAGAAGCUAAGCAGUCACUGAGGGGGAUGGGGAAGAGAUGCCAAAGGAAAGUGCAGAGCAAAGAAUGUAAAGAAUUUUUCUUAUCUGUGACAAGUUUCUAAGUGUGUUUGAUUAUGGUAAUAAGGAUACCUCAUUAACAAAGGAUUUUAAAGGCAUGUACACCAUUGAUAAUCAGCCCUGGCCAAAGUACAGCAGACAUUUUUAACUUUUUUUUUUUUUUUCAAUGGGAUAUGUUUGAAAUCUUGCAGCACUGUAGUGCGAAUGUGGAAUUUCACUUGAUGCUCGAGGGUGGGGCCACGGCAGCUAAGGAAGGAGCUGUAUCUACCGAAGAUAAAGUCCCUAUUGCCCGGCAAGAGAUGAUUGUAAAACAUGCGCAAUUCCCCAUGCUUCAGACUCUCCCUAAUUGCAAAUCUGCUCAUUGUUUUAACUUAUCUCUGCCAGUGCUGUGCUGAAUUAGUCUUUUGGAGUCCCUGAAUGGGAUCAAGGGAAGAGAAGAGGAAAGGAAGGAUGGGAAUGAGAGUGAAUGAGAAACAGAAGAAAGCAAGAUAGCCAGAGAAAAGGAAAGGGGGGCUGGGAGGUGUUAAGCAUAAUUGCCCUUUGGCUUCCUGUGAAAUUGUAAAAGCUUUUGAACACCCUUGCUGAACCAGCAAUGAGAAAGUAUCCCCGCUGCCUGGGAGGCGUCUGGCCUGGUGCUGGAGGGGAAAGGAAAGCAACGGAAUUUAGCAGGGAUUUAAUUCCCCUGGGCAGCGUUUUCCCCUGGGCAGACCCCCACCGCUUCCCAGGGCGGGCCCUGUGAGUGCCCCUGCCCCCGGGCUCUGUGCCUGUCCCCCCCGUUAGGUCUGUUGGGGUCCCCCAGCUCCCCGCCUGUGGGGUAGGAGACCACCACCUCUGCAGCCACCCCUUUGUUGGCUGCCUUGGCGCUGUAAUGGGCAGCUGUUGUCACCAAAAAGGGGUGCAUGGGAACUCCUAAUACUCCUGAGUAUUCCUAAUUUUUGCAUCCUGAUCUCUCAAUGAGUAUAUAAUCUACAAUAGCACGGUACCCCUGCCAUUCUCCAGACUUCUUAUUAAAAAAUUUCACCAUCAGACUCAUUUGGACCACAGAGAAGCUACUUCUCGCCCCGUGCGGGUUCCUUCUUGCCCUGAAGCUGAUCUGUUCUGGAGGAAAACAGCACCAUCCAUCUUCUGCAGAAAGCUGGACCAGGACUGUUGAGCACAUAGCACUAGUAUCAGCCCCAGGCUGCAGGGACACCCCAGGAGCAGAGGGGCAUCUCCUGAACCGAAGCUGCAAGUUGCCACAGCUUCAUCAAGGGCUACAGCUAAGGCUGGAAGAAACUAAGGACCUCCAGCAAACACUGCAAGGGGGUUACCGCAGCCCUAUAUGCAGGCCCAUGGCAAUGCUGCUCUUAAGCGAGCCUUCAGUGACAGCAAAAUGUGAGCAGAAUGAAAGCUGCCUACACAGAAGGUUCUUCAGGCAUUUUCUAGGUGUAAUUGUUGGGUGCUGGCUGCCCAACCCUAAAUGUGGUAGAUAUAACUCCGUACUUCUUCCUCUAAUGCCUUUGGGUUGAAAAACACAUCUUAAUAUCCACACACCUCUAAUAAACUAAAGCUGUAACGAGGCCUUUUCUGUUUGUAUUGCUCUUUUGUUGUCUCCUAUGCGCAUUUACCAUUGAUUUUUGCCAAACUCCCCUAUACUGUAACUAUGCAGUUAUAAACUGGUGUUAUUGAGGGGAGCUGAGGUGGAGAGAGAGGAUAGCCAUAAAAAUUACUGGUUGCAAACAAACACUGCAGCUCUAUUUGGGCAUUUAUCAGCAACACCUGGAGAUUAUUGCAUACAACCUUCCUAAUCAGUAAAUCAGCCAGCCACCAGUUGUUUCCUUAGCCACAUCAGACGAAAAUGUAACAGCUGUUUAAUUUUUUUUUUUUUAUGGUAGGAAAUUCAUAUCCUGAAUCAUUGAUACCUUUAUUUUAUAACUUGCUGCCAUUGAUUUUUUUUCUCUUUUAUUUUCUCCGAUUCAGUGCUGCCUGCUGUGAAAGACGGGAUGGCUGCAUGUGCGAGGGCCUGACAUCAUCUAUCAGGGUGGUGCCUGCAUGGAAGCCAAACAAAACUCUCUGGAGCUUUCCGAAGACUCGGGUUGCCUGUGGAGAGAUGACUGUGAUGGCUGCCAAACUGAUUCGAGGCUUGUUGAUGCAGAGGAGGUGACUGCUGGUGCCCGUGUCUGGUGUAGACUACUCCGCUCCUUGACCUAUUCCUGACCGGAAGUGGUACUGAGGGGCCAGGCUGCGCCCCGUGAGGGGGCCGCCGGAACCCUCUGGAACCUUCUGGAAGCGGACGGGGCCUCUCCUCACAGAGCCCCACGGCCGAUGCCUGGAGCCCUGCAGAGCCCAGGAGGACGGAUCCUGUCCCAGGGAGCACAAAGGAGCUGCUUUGUGAACGCCAGCAGCCUUCUGCAAUUGGAGAGUCGAGAGAAACUGAGUUACAUCCUGCAAGACAAGCUGGAGAGAAGGAAUUUUUAGUGCUCCUGGCAACCUUUCCUUCCAAAGAGGAACUGGUGGAAAAAGGUUAUAUUUCCACUGGGUUAAUGAGUUGCUUUGGCUCCUGGUAUGGGUAAGGAAGUGCCCAGGCUUGCAAAAGGGAGGAAUAAAGUCCAAGGAUCAUUCUUUGGAGAUGCUGAUGAGGACGAAGAUGUCUUGUUUUGCCCUGGGCACUGCUACCUUUGUUGUCCCAAAGGAAUAUCCUUGGAUCUGCUAGUCAUGUCCAUGGGAGCAUUCCUCAUCUGGAUGGCCAAAAACCACAUUGGUAGCAAAGGGCAUUAAGGCAUCAGUUUCAGUAGGCACCAAGAGAGCUGUGUAAGGGGAGCCCUGGUUCUGCCUCCUCCAUGGCUGCUGCAACAUCUGCACAGAGGUGCAGCUGCUCCUCAGGUGGUGACAGCCUGACAGCAACCAGCACCCUCGCAACAAUUAGCAGUGUGACGAUGAUGACGGUGUACUGGAGCAGCCCUAUAGCAGUCCCACUCCUCAGAUGGACAAACGAAGGGAUGGAUGGAGGCUUCGGGGCGAUGCCUCUUGCAGCACAGCUUCAGGACCCCAGGGACACCCCUUCAACCCAGGUAUUUUCCAGCAG